CCAACUGCGCGUGCGGGUCAGGGAUGAGCACCUCUGGCGGCGCUCGGGCUGGGUGCGGCACCUCUAGCAGCGCGUUCGGCUCAGGGACGAGCGCUCGGGCUGGCCAGGCUCAACACCUCUGGAAGUGUGUGUGGCUCAGGGGCGAGCCCCUCCAGCAGGUGGUGUAGUUCAGGUGUGAGGCACUUCCAGGCGGUGGGAUGGCAGGGCACGGCCUCUCCAAUGGGCCAUGUGAGACCUAUUGAAGUGGUUACUUGGUGUUGGGUUCGAGAUAGUUUGGGUUGGGCAAUGGACUACCGGAACCUUGAGAGCCUAGGUGUUUAGUCAAGGUUCCAUGAGAUGGCUUAUCCAGAAAGCUCACGUAUUUGGUCAAUCUGCUCCAAAGAAUACAAGAACUAAGAAUGUAGAUGAAAGAUUGCUGCAUCAUGCCAGCAUGUGUAUAUCCUUAUAGUUAGUACAUUUAAUUGUACAUGAUGACUAGAUCUGUCCCUAUCUUCUGUAAAAUAGGUUAUUUUGGUCAUCGGUGAAAUUUAUGUGGAUAUGGAUAAUACUGUAAAGAAUAGUUGAUUAAAUGUAUUAUUUUUAUAUAUACAUGUUAGAUUUGGUGUA